GAGUUUCUUGUUCGUGGCUAGUGGUGUUAGUUUAUUUUGCUUACCGUACUAGUUUGUAUAUGUACUUAUCUUUUGUGUUUGGUAUUCUGUUAAUUUAUCUUGUGUACCAUACUAGUUAUAUACACCUAUAUUUGGGUUGGUAUAUGGGUAUCGGUCCUAAGCCGGGGGUUUAUCGGAAACAACCUCUCUACUUCUCCUGAGGUAGUGGUAUGGUCUGCGUACACUCUACCCUCCCCAG
rnacentral:lncRNA from 1 species